rnacentral:pre_miRNA from 1 species
AUGCAGGGCAAUCUGUCCUUAUGUGGGAAAAAUUACCCUAAAAGAAAUGAAUCCUAGUUUCCCUUUAAGUCAUGUGUCCUGC